rnacentral:tRNA from 1 species
AGUUCUGUGGCUUAGUUGGUUAAAGCGCCGGGUCUAGCGAUUACGGAGUCGUAGGUUGAAAUCCCACCAGAACGC